GACGAACGCUGGCGGCGUGCUUAACACAUGCAAGUCGAACGAAGUGGCGAACGGGUGAGUAAUACGUGGGUAACCUGCCCUCCUUUUUGGGAUAAGCCUUGGAAACGGGGUCUAAUACCGAAUAAAGGGGGAUGGGCUCGCGGCCUAUCAGCUUGUUGGUGGGGUGAUGGGCUACCAAGGCGGUGACGGGUAGCCGGGCUGAGAGGGUGACCGGCCACAUUGGGACUGAGAAACGGCCCAGAGUACGACGGGGGGGAGAAGUGGGGGAUAUUGGAGAAUGGGCGAAAGCGUGAUGCAGAGACGCCGCGUGGGGGAUGAAGGCUUUCGGGUUGUAAACCUCUAUAGCAAUCGAGCGGGUAGGUGGAGAAGAAGCGCCGGCUAACUACGUGCCAGCAGCCGCGGUAAUUC
rnacentral:rRNA from 1 species